GCGUGGUCCACUGUCCCUUAAGUGGGUGUGGGUCCCAAACAAGAAAAAUAGGCCCGCCCAGGUCUUCAGGGACAGGUAUCGGGAGCAAAUAGCUUUAAUGUUGCCAAACCAGGUGGUGUGGCAGCCGUAUGAAGAUGAAUACGAGAACCUUCCGCCGUGGUGCGUUGCAGGGAGGGCAAUGUGGACGGCAAUCGUGCCGCUUGUAUGUUUCCAUCUAGUAGAGAAACAUACACCGGAUCGUGUCGUUCGG